UAUCAGGUACGGCCCGUGCUUUGGUUCAGAAACGGUAUUAAGCCGUUUUUAAUUGAACACGGUUUCAAACCGUUUCUGAAUGCAGCGACUAUACCCUCUUUCCACGUACGGCUCUUUUGCUUUCCCCUUUUCUUCAUUCUCUCUCGUCUCGCGUCUCCUUCUCUUCGAAUCUCCAGUUUAGGUCAUUCUGCCCUCCUGCUCGUCCUGCUCAUCUCCUUCUUCACACUCCUUUAAAAAGCAUCCCCAUUACGGCAGAUCUACGCCUCCAGAUCUAUUACCUCUCUCAUUCUCCUCCGCUCUUCCUCCUCCAAUUCCCAAUUUCUCUCCAGAUUUCUUCAGUUUCCUCAGAUCUAGGGUUUACAGAUCCCGUUUCUGGAGUCAGAUCCACGUUUCUUGCAUUGUGGCCAUGGAUCUAUCUCUUUUGUAGCUGAUUAUAUCUGUUAAUUUCAUCAAAAGCGGGUUUUAGGAAGAGAGAGAGAGAGAGAGGGAAGAAACUGAUGUCUCUGUUUUAAGCGCAAAAAAAAUCCCCCAAAUCUCUCUUCGGAAAAUCUAGGGUUUCUUUCUGCAACUGAUGAUGGCAAUUCUGUAAUUCUUCUGUAAUUCCUUCUCGAUUUUUUCCCUCUCGAUUUGGUUUCUCUGUUUUUAGGGGGAGAAUUUGGGUCCUAGGCUUCAGAAUUUGUUCUAGGUUUUUUUUUUUUUUUUUCCUUCUAUAUCUGGAAAUGGCAUUUCUGUGAAUAUUAUUUUUAAAUCUCCAUAUGAAAAUUGAAAUUAUGUAUUUUUUUAUUUUUAUUUUUUCUUGUUCUUUUAUGGAUGAUUUUUCUAUGUUGUUCGAAUAUCUGUGAAAUUAGGGGUUUCCACUUUAAAUCGGAUUUUUUUUUUUUUUGUCAUUUUCUCUGAUUUUUUAUUUUUGAAAUUCCUAUUUGGUUUUAUUGUUCCGUACGUGUUUUCAUAGAAUUUCGUGGGUGAUUUUCAUGUUCAAAUGAAAAUUUUUGUAUUCUUUAAUUCAAGAAAAUUAGGCAAUUCUAGCCACUGAAUCCGUUCAUUCUCUAUUGAUUUGUACAAAAAUUUCACACAUUUUUGUUCCAUUAAUUUCCUGCAAUUUUGAACUUCUUUUGAAAUUUCCACAAAAAUUUCCAAAUGAAGCUCUCUGUCCACGUCAAGGAGAAGGCGAAAUCUGCACCAUCGGAUCAGGCCCCUGUGAUCGAUCUCACGCAGUUUGGGUAUGUCAAGCUCUUCGGCAAGGGGAUGCUACUGGAGGGGCGGCCAGUCGUCGUGAAGGCGAAACUAGUGUCAAAGACCAUGGAGAAGAAGAUCAAGGAGGCUGGCAGGGCCGUCAUGCUCACCGCCUGAUCUGUGGGGACUAGUCGAUGAAUUACCUCAAAAGCUUCACAAGAUGAGGAUCCACAUUGAAAGCUGCUUCCAGAAGUGAUGGUGAUAGAGCUCUGAACAGUGAUGUCUUCCCACCAAAAUGACUGAACACAGGCAGUGGACUAGAGAUGACAGAAAACCAUUCCAACCCUUCACCAUCUGCAAUUGAAUAUGAAGGGUUGAUGAUUUUUUACUGAUCGAUCUGGCAUCCUCAAAUCCUCCCAAUUUUUUUGAGACUUUUUAUAUAGUCUUAUCUGAGUGUUGAAUGGCUGCAAGCUGAUAUCACAAAAGCUUGAAAUCAUUUAUGUUAGAGGUUGAAAGUGGUUCAGAUGCCUUUCUUACAUGUUCAGUCUAUUGGAAAUGUAAGUGGGUGUUUCAAUUGUUGCAAGUUGGUCCUGUGAAGAGCUGUUCUAAGUACUUGGUAACAUAUUAAUGGAUGGUGAAAGUUUUGCAAGAUUGAGGUUAGAUUCGGCCAUUCAACAAAGAACUGGUCUUUGAUUCUGUAUGUGCAUGUUUCCAUUUUCACCAAGACACUAAGAAUAAAAGACAAACAACAGAUGACUGUGACUCUGUGACAGCCAAAAAGUGAGUGCCACCAAUUUUAUAGUUAUUAGUAGCAAAGGUGGAAAUGGAGGGCAGAGAUGUGGAUAGAAAUUCAAAAUAAACAUGUUACUUGCAAGGAGAAAGAAAUCAUACAUUACCAAGUUGGCUAGUUGUGGCCAGUAGUACAUUACAUUUAUGUUUAUUUUGGAUUACAAAGAAAUCAUACCUUUGUACUCUUAUUGAGGUCAAUGCAUUACAAAUUUCGGAGUAACCAUCGACAUAAAAAGGGUAAUUAACCAAUUCAAGGGAACCGUAGAUGUGGAUAGAAAUCCAAAAUAAACAUGUAUGUUGCAUGGAGAAAGCAAUCAUACCUUACCAAAUUGGCUAGUUGUGGGUAGUAGCACAUUACUUUUCAAAUUUUCUAUUAACAAUGCUAGUCGGGAAUAUCAAGGUUUAGCUCACUACAAGAGAUGAUCCUAUAGAAACCAUUUCGAAAACAUAAUGGGCAGGUCAUGUAGACCAUGGGAACCAAUUGAUGCACAGGGAGCAGGGAGGAAUAUUAGUUGAUUCAGAUAGGUGAUAUGAAUGCCAACAAAAUUACACAGCCAUGUCUUAAAAAAAAAAAUAUUUUCAAACUCUUACCAGGGCACUUUGUGCUAUCUUUCGCUGUUGGUUUUAUUUCAGAUCUAGUCAAUAGGCAUGUCUGCAUGCCUAUUGUGACUUUUUAAAAAAAUUUAAAAAAAAAAAAGAA